rnacentral:misc_RNA from 1 species
GAAGAACGUAGCGAAAUGCGAUACGUAGUGUGAAUUGCAGAAUUCAGUGAAUCAUCGAAUCUUUGAACGCACAUUGCACCUCUCGGUAUUCCGGGAGGUAUGCCUGUUCGAGCGUCAUUUGUACCCUCAAGCUCUGCUUGGUGUUGGGUGUUUGUUCCGCCUCUGUGUGUGAACUCGCCUCAAAACAAUUGGCAGCCGGCGUACUUGUUUCGGAGCGCAGCACAUUUUGCGAUCCAGAUCAACGUACAGCGGCAUCCAAGAAGCCUUAUUUAACGCUCUUGACCUCGGAUCAGGUAGGGAUACCCGCUGAACUUAAGCAUAUCAAUAAGCGGAGGA